CUACGGGCGGCUCCAGUGGGGAAUAUUGGACAAUGGGGGAAACCCUGAUCCAGCAAUGCCGCGUGUGUGAAGAAGGCCUGCGGGUUGUAAAGCACUUUCGGUUGGGAGGACUGCUUCUAGCACUAAUAUUGUUGGAAGUUGACGUUACCUUCAGAAGAAGCACCGGCUAACUCCGUGCCAGCAGCCGCGGUAAUACGGGAGGGUGCAAGCGUUAAUCGGAAUUACUGGGCGUAAAGCGCGCGUAGGCGGCUAGAUCAGUCGGGUGUGAAAGCCCCGGGCUUAACCUGGGAACUGCAUCCGAUACUGUCUAGCUUGAGUACAGGAGAGGAGAGUGGAAUUCCACAUGUAGCGGUGAAAUGCGUAGAUGUGGAGGAACACCAAUGGCGAAGGCAGCUCUCUGGCCUGAUACUGACGCUGAGGUGCGAAAGCGUGGGGAGCAAACAGGAUUAGAUACCCCGGUAGUC
rnacentral:rRNA from 1 species